UACGAAGGGGGCGAGCGUUGUUCGGAUUUACUGGGCGUAAAGGGCGCGUAGGCGGCCUUCUAAGUCGGACGUGAAAUCCCUCGGCUUAACCGAGGAACUGCGUCCGAGACUGAAAGGCUUGAAUCCGGGAGAGGGGUGUGGAAUUCCAGGUGUAGCGGUGAAAUGCGUAGAUAUCUGGAGGAACACCGGUGGCGAAGGCGGCAUCCUGGGCCGGCAUUGACGCUGAGGCGCGAAAGCUAGGGGAGCAAACGGG
rnacentral:rRNA from 1 species